CACGAAUGGGCCCGAGGAGCUGGCUGCCCCUUCCCCCGCGUAAGGGCCUUGGCUGAUUAUGAGGGGAAGGAUGUGGCCACCAGGGUCGGAGAGGCCUGGCAGGAGAGGCCUGGAGCUCCAAGAGGUGGCCAAGGAGACCCAGCUGUACCCGCUCAGCAACCUGCAGAUCCCAGCACCCCAGAGCGGCAGAGCAGCCCCAGCGGAUCUGAGCAACUUGUCAGACGAGAGAGUUGUGGCAGCAGCGUGUUGACUGAUUUUGAGGGGAAGGAUGUGGCCACCAAGGUCGGAGAGGCCUGGCAGGACAGGCCUGGAGCCCCAAGAGGUGGCCAAGGAGACCCAGCUGUACCCACUCAGCAACCUGCAGAUCCCAGUACCCCAGAACAGCAGAACAGCCCCAGCGGAUCUGAGCAAUUCGUCAGACGAGAGAGCUGCACCAGCAGGGUGAGGAGCCCCUCGAGCUGCAUGGUCACUGUUACUGUCACUGCCACAUCUGAGCAGCCUCACAUUUAUAUUCCAGCCCCCGCAAGUGAAUUGGACUCCAGCUCUACCACCAAAGGGAUUCUCUUCGUGAAGGAGUACGUGAAUGCUAGUGAAGUGUCUUCUGGGAAGCCAGUAUCUGCA
rnacentral:lncRNA from 1 species